UAAGGAAUAUUGGACAAUGGUCGCAAGACUGAUCCAGCCAUGCCGCGUGAAGGAUGACGGCCCUAUGGGUUGUAAACUUCUUUUGUAUGGGAAAAAACCUCUCUACGUGUAGAGAGCUGAUGGUACCAUAAGAAUAAGGAUCGGCUAACUCCGUGC
rnacentral:rRNA from 1 species